GACGAACGCUGGCGGCGUGCUUAACACAUGCAAGUCGAACGGAAAGGCCCUGCUUUUGUGGGGUGCUCAAGUGGCGAACGGGUGAGUAACACGUGAGUAACCUGCCCUUGACUUUGGGAUAACUUCAGGAAACUGGGGCUAAUACCGGAUAGGAGCUCCUGCUGCAUGGUGGGGGUUGGAAAGUUUCGGCGGUUGGGGAUGGACUCGCGGCUUAUCAGCUUGUUGGUGGGGUAGUGGCUUACCAAGGCUUUGACGGGUAGCCGGCCUGAGAGGGUGACCGGCCACAGUGGGACUGAGAUACGGCCCAGACUCCUACGGGAGGCAGCAGUGGGGAAUAUUGCACAAUGGGCGGAAGCCUGAUGCAGCAACGCCGCGUGCGGGAUGACGGCCUUCGGGUUGUAAACCGCUUUCGCCUGUGACGAAGCGUGAGUGACGGUAAUGGGUAAAGAAGCACCGGCUAACUACGUG
rnacentral:rRNA from 1 species